AACGUAGGCCGCGAGCGUUAUCCGGAGUUACUGGGCGUAAAGCGCGGGCAGGCGGUCUGCCAAGUCUGAUGUGAAAUCACCCGGCUCAACCGGGCGAGGCCAUUGGAAACUGACAGGCUGGAGGGCAGUAGAGGUAGGCGGAACUCCGGGUGGAGUGGUGAAAUGCGUAGAGAUCCGGAGGAACACCAGAGGCGAAGGCGGCCUACUGGGCUGCACCUGACGCUGAGACGCGAAAGCCAGGGGAGCGAACGGG
rnacentral:rRNA from 1 species